UGUAUAUAAGGACAGAGAAGUUGAUCAUCUGCAUCAUUUCGCACUUGUCCUUUGUAAAGAAUAUAAUAAGCAGUCGAUUAAUAAUUCUCCUCGUUGUUAAAAUUUGUGAAAAAAUAUAACGUAAAAAUGUGGAAGAUCUUCACAUUUAUUUUGCUUCUCUGCGUAGCAACAACUUUAGCUUUUCCUUCGAUUCAAGCAGAAACAAACGAAGGCCCCAUGUUGAACAGAUUGAAUAGAGCUGCUGAUCAUUAUGGAGGUGGACAUGAUGGACAUGGCGGUGGAUAUGGCGGUAGUAGUGGACAUGGCGGUGGAUAUGGCGGUAGUAAUGGACAUGGCGGUGGACAUGGCGGUGGAUAUGGCAGUGGACAUGGCGGUGGACAUGGGUAAAUAAACUGCGAACGUUUGUAUAGACAGCUUAUACAAAAAAAUGCUACGACAAAACUUUCAAAAAUAUGUAGAAUAACCAAUAAUCCGUCCAAUAUUAUAAUAACUAUAUUUUGCUAUAAAGAUUAUUUUGAGAUAAAACAAGAUAUUUACCAAUAUUGUUACAAUUCAUUUUCAUAAUUCAUGUUACACUAAAUAACAAGUGAUAUUGUCUGUAUUUGAUACAAUUUUUAAUUUAUAAUGAUAAUUAUACAUGUUAUUGUUUAUAAUUAUGAGUAAAAUAAAACAUAAUAUCUCUAACAUACACAAAAUAUACAGUUUAUUUAAUUAUUAAAUAUAUAUGCGCAUUAUAAUUGCAUAAUUAUAAAGAACAUCAAUUACACUGACACAUUCUAAUAAUCGAUAAUUAUUAUGAAAGUGUAAUACAAAAUAUUGAUUAUAUAAUGAAACAUACAUAUUUAAAAUUUAUAAACGAUUGUAAAAUCGUUCUAAUCUUUCUUCUAUGAAAAUAUACAUUUUAAUUAAUUCCUCGAUUUAUACGUCACUCUUAUUAGAAAAUUAUUAAUGCUAGUAAGACAAUGGAAAAAAAAAUAACGUCGUCUAAUACGAAACGAUAUCAGUAACAAUCUUUGUUCUGUGUUUCUCCAAUUUCCGAUUGUCAUUGAAGUUGCUACAAACACGAGAUACCGUAUGAUCUUAUUUCAUACACAUAUUACGUGGAAUAUGGAAUAAAAGAGCUUCCCUCGUGAUAAAUCGCAGUAUUCACACGAAACUAUUCUACCACGUCGCAUGUAACUUUCAAGAAGAAAAAGGAAUAGAAAAAAAAAUAGAAAAAAAAAGAAAAAAAAUAGAAAGUGAGAAAUACGGAAGAAACGAAAACAUGAAAUGUCAAUUGAUAUUAUUUUUCGCUAUCGUAACAGGCAUCCAAUGUCGUUCAAUAAUACUCGAUGAAAUGCGUAAGUUUAUAACUAUAAAAUUUUAUUUCUAAUUAUUUAUAACGUAAUGGAGAAUUUAAAUUGUAUCAAGUAGGUAAGCAACUAGCGACUCGUAUUUCUACUUGUCUUCUCCGGUGAAGUGAAAGAAAAUGAUUCUUACUGUUUAAUACCGCCGUGCCUCGUGAAUUCUGUUUUUAUUUUUUUAUUGAUAAUCGAUUAUUUGCACACUGAAAAGAAAACAAGAAAACAUUGAGAAUAAAAAGAAUUGGUGAAUCGGGACAUUUAAACGACAACAUAUAUCUCGAAAGUAAAAACGUGCCAUUUUUUCCUUACAAUCACAGAUAUAAUACUCAUAUUUCAUCUAUCCCUAUCCUGUACAAGGAUAAGGUGUAAAGAGAAGACCUCUACGUUUAUAAACAUAGUGUUGGCCAGUUAAAUAGUGGGGGAACGAAUUGAUUAAUAGUAAAGACCGUAGAGCCUAGGGUAGGAAAGAAGUUGCCCACCUAUGCUAUAACGAAUUGAUUUUUUCGAAAUGAUUUCAUAUGCAAAAAAAAAAGAAAUUUGACGUUUUCGAAAAAAUACAAUUUAAUUCAUUAAAAUUAAAAAAAAAUAUAUCGUUAAAAUAGCUAAAAAUGACAGCGACAAAUCGAAGAGAAUCGAGCGAUCGUUUGAUGAUGAAAUGACAGAUAGAAUGGAGCAAUUAGAUUGGAAGAAUGAACCCGAAUCUACUACAAAUGUAUUUUGGUUACCUUCACCAUUCAUAUAUCCACCGGAACUAAUCAAAAACGAAUCGAAAGAAAUAAGGAUUUAAAA